UGGGGAAUAUUGCACAAUGGGCGCAAGCCUGAUCCAGCCAUCCCGCGUGUGCGAUGAAGGCCUUCGGGUUGUAAAGCACUUUUGGCAGGAAAGAAACGUCGCGGGUUAAUACCCCGCGAAACUGACGGUACCUGCAGAAUAAGCACCGGCUAACUACGUGCCAGCAGCCGCGGUAAUACGUAGGGUGCAAGCGUUAAUCGGAAUUACUGGGCGUAAAGCGUGCGCAGGCGGUUCGGAAAGAAAGAUGUGAAAUCCCAGAGCCUAACUUUGGAACUGCAUUUUUAACUACCGGGCUAGAGUGUGUCAGAGGGAGGUGGAAUUCCGCGUGUAGCAGUGAAAUGCGUAGAUAUGCGGAGGAACACCGAUGGCGAAGGCAGCCUCCUGGGAUAACACUGACGCUCAUGCACGAAAGCGUGGGGAGCAAACAGGAUUAGAUACCCUGGUAGUCCACGCCCUAAACGAUGUCAACUAGCUGUUGGGGGCCUUCGGGCCUUGGUAGCGCAGCUAACGCGUGAAGUUGACCGCCUGGGGAGUACGGUCGCAAGAUU
rnacentral:rRNA from 1 species